rnacentral:rRNA from 1 species
GAUGAACGCUAGCUACAGGCUUAACACAUGCAAGUCGAGGGGCAGCGGUAUCGAAAGCUUGCUUUCGGUAGCCGGCGACCGGCGCACGGGUGAGUAACGCGUAUCGAACCUGCCUCAUACUCGGGAAUAGCCUUGCGAAAGUAAGAUUAAUGCCCGGUGUUUUCAGAGUCCCGCAUGAGGCUUUGAACAAAGAUUUAUCGGUAUGAGAUGGCGAUGCGUCCCAUUAGCUUGUUGGCGGGGUAACGGCCCACCAAGGCAUCGAUGGGUAGGGGUUCUGAGAGGAAGGUCCCCCACAUUGGAACUGAGACACGGUCCAAACUCCUACGGGAGGCAGCAGUGAGGAAUAUUGGUGGAUGGGCGGAAGCCUGAACCAGCCGAGUAGCGUGCAGGAAGACGGCCCUCCGGGUUGUAAACUGCUUUUAGUUGGGAAUAAAACGGGGCUCGUGAGCCCCCUUGCAUGUACCAUCAGAAAAAGAACCGGCUAAUUCCGUG